rnacentral:rRNA from 1 species
GUUGAACGCUAGCUACAGGCUUAACACAUGCAAGUCGAGGGACCCGCGCACGGGUGAGUAACACGUAUCCAACCUGCCCUUUACUCGGGGAUAGCCUUUCGAAAUAAAGAUUAAUACCCGAUAUAAAGGAUGGGGAUGCGUUCCAUUAGGUUGUUGGUGAGGUAACGGCCCACCAAGCCUUCGAUGGAUAGGGGUUCUGAGAGGAAGGUCCCCCACAAUGGAACUAAGGCACAGACCAAACUCGUACGGGACGCAGGAGUAAGGAAUAUUGGUCAAUGGGCGCUAGCCUGAACCAGCCGAGUGGAGGGAAGGAUGAAGGCGUAGGGGACGUAAACUUCUUUUAUAUAAGAAUAUGUAUUAGAUGAAUAAGGAUCGGCUAACUCCGUGCCAGCAGCCGCGGUAAUUC